GAUGAAGAACGUAGCAAAAUGCGAUAAGUAAUGUGAAUUGCAGAAUUCAGUGAAUCAUCGAAUCUUUGAACGCACAUUGCGCCCGCCAGUAUUUUGGCGGGCAUGCCUGUUCGAGCGUCAUUUCAACCCUCAAGCACAGCUUGGUGUUGGGACUCGCGUUAAUUCGCGUUCCUCAAAUUGAUUGGCGGUCACGUCGAGCUUCCAUAGCGUAGUAGUAAAACCCUCGUUACUGGUAAUCGUCGCGGCCACGCCGUUAAACCCCAACUUCUGAAUGUUGACCUCGGAUCAGGUAGGAAUACCCGCUGAACUUAAGCAUAUCAAUAAGCGGAGGA
rnacentral:misc_RNA from 1 species